GAACUCCAUCUCGUCCAUACCUUCCCCGGUAUACCAAUGCAAGAAAGCUUUUCUACGAAACAUGGCAGUGAACUGCUCACUGACCCUUCUAAACAUCUCCUGAAUUGAUGUCGAGUUGCCAAUAAAUGUGGAGGCCAUCUUUAAGCCCGUUGGAGGGAUGUCACAAACAGUGGAUUUGACAUUGUUGGGAAUCCAUUCAACAAAGUAAGACGAGUUCUUGUUCUGCACAUUGAUCAUCUGCUCAUCGACUUCUUUUGUGCUCAUUUUGCCACGGAACAUUGCUGAUGCUGUAAGAUAUCUACCAUGGCGAGGAUCAGCAGCGCACAUCAUAUUCUUGGCAUCCCACAUUUG
rnacentral:misc_RNA from 1 species